GCCACCGUAGUGCAGAGGUUAGCAUGUCCGCCUAUGACGCUGAACACUUGGGUUCGAAUCCUAGCGAAACCA
rnacentral:tRNA from 1 species